UAAUAUUGUUAUUGUGUGGGACCCACAUUAACUUGAAUUACUAAUUUGCCAUUACCCUUUUCUGAUAUCAGGUUUUUUCUUCGUCAUUUCCUCAAAGAUUCACUCUUUUAAUGCCUUAGAUUCGAUUCCAUUCAAAACAUGUGGGCUUAAGCAUCUUAACACUUAUUGUAAAAUUUAAUUUUAGAGUUAAAUAUUGAACUUGGCUUGUAAAUGGGUGCUUGAUGAUAAUGAACUGAGAAUGUUUUCUUGUUGAUGAAGAUUGCAGGGAUAUGGUAUCAACUGGUUUCAUUAUGAGUAUUGAGUAAUACAAUUCAAUUUGUAAGAGCCCUAUAAUUUUCAAUGAUAGUGGCCCUUCACUUCACUAAUAACCAAUCAUUCACAGUUCACCAAAAACUGAUAGGGAUACUUUUUCUGUUACUGCUAUUCAGUUAGGGUCACUUACCUUAUUUUCAAAGUUACAAAAAAAAGUUCCCUAUUUUAUGUGGUAGUUAGUUAACCACCUUUUUCAUUAUUUAUUUUUGGCAUGUGUUAGUGUUGAAGAUUGUAAAUUGAGUAAAUAGAUAUUUUGGUCUUUGAAUGUAUGAGUAACUAUUAUUAUAGUCUUUGAAUGUAUAUUAAAACUACAAAAAUAUACCUGAGUGUGUCUUUUGUUAGUCUAUUUGGUCCUCGUAAGUUUUUUUCGUUGAUUAGUUUAGUCAUCGGAGGUGUCUUCCAUUGAUCAAUUUAGUAUGUGGAAUUACUAAUAGAAGAAUAAAUUAUUGAGGACAUUUUGGGGUUGGUUUUGUUACAACAUUACAAGAAUAUCUUAUUCUUAGGGCAGCUGGUAACACUUCAUAUCAACAUCUGUCUUAUUUAAUCUGGAGUGAUUUCAUGUUAAUCAGUUCCUCUUUGUUGAUUAUGUGUCUCAUUCUUUUUUGUGGAGAAAAAACUUAAUGUAAACCAAAAGGAUAUUAUUGUCCAUGCGUUCUGCAUUAAUUGUUAAGGUAAUUUUUUUC